rnacentral:piRNA from 1 species
UACCCUCGGAUGAAGCUUGUGGCGAACCCC